UGCGGCCUCAGGCGGGCGCGGGGCUCGAACCUGCGGCCCCUCCGCUGCGGGGAGGCGGGGCUUCUGCCUAACCGCCGCCCGAGGCGGCCACUCAACGGCUGGCGGGGGCGGGGCGCCACCGUGACGUCAGGGCGAGGGCGCCGGGUUGCCAGGUCAGCAGCAGUCUCGGCGGGUAACCAUGUAGUGCUUAAAAGAGAGGCAGCCUCCGUGCUGAACCUUACAGUCAUAAAUAUUUACCGGUAUCCACUAAUGCCUGGUAGCACGCUGGUCCCCAGUCCCCUAUGAAUUCAUCACUGCCGCAUUCUGCUUCGCCCCAGAAACUUAGCCCAAGCCUUGAGAACAGCACCAUUCAGAAACAGAGGCAAGAACUCCAGCUUUUAAUUGCAGAACUGAAAGAUCGUGAUAAGGAACUCAAUGAUAUGGUUGCAGUGCAUCAGAGACAGCUUCUAGCCUGGGAAGAUGAUCGGCAAAAAAUACUGACUUUAGCAGAACGAUGCAAUUUGUUAAACAAUGAGCUGAACAAGAGAAAUGAAAUUAUAAAAUCACUGACCAAAAAGUUAAAGUUCUUAGAAUCCCAGCAGAAUGACAAUAAGACAACACUUGAAAAUACACAACAGAAGUUUAAAGAGCUGUCUCAAAAAGCAACAGAUGCAAGUCUUCACUGUCAGGCUCUGGAGGAGAAAAAUCAAAGUCUCCACUGCUCAGUUUUGGAACUGUCUGCUAAAACAGGUCAGCUGCAAGCGAGAGAACAGGAGCUUCUUACUAUGCUUAAGCUGAAGGAUGAGGUUAUACUUGAAACAACUGAUCACAUUACUGAGUUUACAUCUAAAUUCAAAAAGCUGGAAAGUGCAUUGCGUGUGGCAAAGACGGAGGAAUUCAGUCUCAACAAAGAAAAGCAAGACCUCAGACUGAGACUGAAAGACCUAAUACUUGAAACAAAUAAGCUGAAAGAUGACCUCUGCGAAAAGAUGAAAGAAAAUAAUAAGCAACAGGAAGAAAUUCUUCACCUCAGACAAGAAAACAGCUGCUUGAGGAACGAGCUCGCGCUUAGUGUUGAGAAAGCAAAGAGAAAGGAUCAACUUCUUCAGUCUGCCAAGUCUAAACAAGCGCGGACUGACGCAGAACUGUCAAGUUUGCGACAGAUCUACGUAAAACAGCAGCGUGACUUGCAAUUUCUUCAUGUCAAUUUAGAGAGCUCUCAGGAAUUAAGGCAAAAGCAUGAAAAGGUGGCACAUGAAAGGAGCAUAGGUAUGGCAUUCCCUGCCUCUGAAAGCAACAGCAAGACAGACUCGGUUAGGACUGAGGGCACUCAUGGGACAUCCGAGGAGUGUGGAACUGCGCAAGUUCCAAACAGUAGGGUAAAAACCACCUCUGAGGUGUGUGAAGUAGAUAAUAGACUGUUACUGAAUGCAUCAGACUUGGAGGAAACUACCUCAGCGUACUUAAACCGGUGUCAAAAAGUUGUGAAAGUCUUGGCUGUCCUUAGGGAAGAAGAAGAAAAGCAGGAUGUUGCAUCAAGCUCUGAUGAGCUAGGCAGCAAAGUAUUUUGUGAGGCAAACAACUCAAGGCCAUUGAGAAACAGGGAUAUUUCUGAGAAUGGAGUGGAAAGCAGAGACCAACAAACCUUUGAGUCAUCUUUACCUGAAUAUGAGCAUUGGCUUAACGUCAGUUCUUGUGUAGAUUCGCAAAGUACUUUGAUCCAGAACACCAUCACAUUUGACAAAACUGAUGAUGAAAAUAAAACCUGGGAAGAAGGAACUGGAAUUCUGUUUGGCCAAAAAAGCAGAGAGAUUCCUGCUGCGAUUCACAAGUCUGAAUCUGAUUCCUGUAGUAAUAACUUCAUUAUAAAAAAAGAUGCACGGUGGAAGCGAAUAUCAGAUCCGGAAUGGUUGAAGAUUUUCAAACCCAUAAAAGGAGAUGGAAGUAUAUGGCAUGGAAAAGAUUGCAGCUGUCUCAAGACUGCACAAGAGAUGAAAUGUGCCAGCUCAAAAAGUGAAGAAAACGUGGAUCUGAAUUCUUUUCACUUGGAUUCUCCCUGUUUGACAUCCACCCAGAAAGGAGACAGGCCUCAAAGAUGUGAGAAAUUCUCUGAUGAAGACUUCCUUCUGGAGAUAAAUAACCUUUCAGUGACUAAGCCAACAAGUAGAUGCUGCAGUGCUACCAUGGACCAAGACACCGGUUCCCCCAUAAGUAAGCUGCAGCAUGCGUUGGCCGAGUCUCGACAGAUGGUUGCUGAUCUGGAGCUUAGCACUCUCCUCCACGCGAACCCUCGCUGCAGUCCAAACAGCAGCAGCAUUAAUAUGACAGCAGAACUUGCAGAAGCUCUUCACAGAUCCCAGUUAUCAGCUGCAGAAGGAAGAGACGCUAAGCUUCCAUUCUUUUCUCUAUGAUGUUCCGUGAGUAUGAAGGGAUCGCUGCUUUUCCGAAAAAGAGCCCUGAGGUAAAAGAAGCUGAAGGUUUUAUAGAUCGAAGCCAGCACUGUGACUUGCAUCCUGAAACUACUGAUGUUAAAAAGUUUCAGGAGCAAAUCCCCAAAAUUGCUGAGCACCAUGCUGAUACAGCAAAGCGUGGAUGGAGAAGUUUCCAAUACAGAAUUAAUUUUGAGAACUGAAGAUCAUCAGCCCAUCAGCUACAAUGGAAAGUUACCUCACUUUUUUCCAUGGUUCCCUGAGUGUUUGAAAGACUCACAAGUGGCAAAAAGAUGUGACUAUGCGGGAAUGUAUUUUAUCUUGAAAUAAAGCAUGGAAUUAUGCCAAGAUUAACAAAACUAUUUUUAUAGCUGAGAGCUCAGGUUCAAUACCAGCUUGUUUUUUAAGAAUCCUGUGUGUGUAAUUGUUACAACAUAGGAACUAUUUUUCUUCCUUUUUUUUAAUGGUAGCUCAGAAAUAUUUAUAGAGUAUGACACAGCCAGGCAUUCUCUUUUUUUUGUUGUUGUUAGUUUAUUGUUUUUGUUCUGGACUUCUUGCCAUGUAGAGAGAGAUGAAUAAUGUUUGUAAGAAGUUCUCAGUUAGUGGUGUAACCAGGAACUGCCUCCUGCGUUGUUGAAAGGGGAGAGCUGUCACCCACAAGAUGGGCGAAACAGCUCUUCCCCAGUCGGGAGCUACUUACUCUAACAAAAACUUAGAGCAAGGCCAGGUGUGCGUAUGGGCUCUGUUACGGCAGCAGCCAAGGGUAAUGUGACCGGUUUUAGCAUUGAAACUGGUUUUAUCUUUGGUUGUUGGGCGAGACGUAUUCCGUUAUCACACUUUGAACUUAUUUUUUAACUAAAAGAUCAAAGAAGCUAAUAAAGAUGAUACCUUUGCUGUA